GAUGAACGCUGGCGGCGUGCCUAAUACAUGCAAGUCGAGCGAACAGACGAGGAGCUUGCUCCUCUGACGUUAGCGGCGGACGGGUGAGUAACACGUGGAUAACCUACCUAUAAGACUGGGAUAACUUCGGGAAACCGGAGCUAAUACCGGAUAAUAUAUUGAACCGCAUGGUUCAAUAGUGAAAGACGGUUUUGCUGUCACUUAUAGAUGGAUCCGCGCCGCAUUAGCUAGUUGGUAAGGUAAAGGCUUACCAAGGCAACGAUGCGUAGCCGACCUGAGAGGGUGAUCGGCCACACUGGAACGUAGACACGGUCCAUACUCCUACGGUAGGCAGCAGUAGGGAAUCUGCCGCAAUGGUCGAAAGCCUUACGGAGCAACGCCGCGUGAGUGAUGAAGGUCUUCGGAUCGUGAAACUCUGUUAUUGGGGAAGAACAAAUGUGUAAGUAACUAUGCACGUCUUGACGGUACCUAAUCAGAAAGCCACGGCUAACUACGUG
rnacentral:rRNA from 1 species